ACAGAUUCCAGGAAAUGUCCCCCUUCCAUUCUACCCGGCAUGUGCGAUUGAUAGUUGACAAACCACUGAUAGUUGGGUGCUUCUGGAGGAGAGUGUGCAGAGAGCAUAUUCCUUAAAGGACCAAUUCAGAAAGCCAAACCGCAUGCUUCUUAUUUUAUGGGGGUCCAAAUCCAGCCCAGCUUUCCAGGCUCCAGUUCCACUCACAUGUGGAGAUGAAGAGCUGACUCUGCCAGAUCGCAGGUUCAUUGAAAGAGCUUUCUGGGAAGAGCUCUGAAAUCUGGGACUCCAGAGUGAAUGACGAGGAGGUGCUUCCAUUCCUGCUCAUCAAUGUCUGCCCUGACCUCACCACAUUGCUUUGUCCACCAGUCCCUGUCCCAACGACUAAUGUAUUGAUAAUUUGCAAGCAAAUGCAUCGAUAGCUUCAGUAAACAGAAUCAACAGGGACUCAAAUACUAAAUAAUCUGUACUGUAUUAUUAGUCCUUAGUACUAUUAGUCCUUCAAAAUAUUUUGAGAAAAGUAUAAAUGCUAGAUCUUUUGUUAACUAUGUUGUUAAAGAGAUGGAUUUCAUUAAACAUUGUCAGGUGUAAGACAAGACCUGAGGCCCAUUCCUGACUGUCUGUCAGUACCAUAUUAUGGCAGCUUCUUUCAAACUUUAUAACAGUAGGCACCGCCAAAGUGGGAGCAGGAUAUUUCUGACUGUCUGCUUCAGUCCAAAGUAAAGAAGAGGCACACAAAUCUAAUUAAAAUUACAAAAUAAAAUAGUGGGAUUUAUUUCCUCUUUAUUAACUCUUUUAAUUUAGUUUUUAACACGAGUGGCUAUUUGUUUUUUUUAGUUUUUUUUUUUGUUUCUUUUUUUCCUAAUCUCAGGUAAAAUGCUUUUAAAUCUGAUGAGUGGCAGCUGUUAACUUAGCUAGUUUGGUAGCUUGCUAUUUACCUUGCCAGCCUGCCACUCUAUUAAUUUAGUCUGCUAGAUAACAUAUCAACGGAUUUCCAAGUUUAUUAAUUAACUGGAGCCUAGUGUGUCAGUUUGUUGGCCAUGGCGAUGACAGUACAUUAUGCAUUUUUCAGUACAAUACAUGAUACAGUAUACAGAUAUUUUGAAAGCUGCAAGCAUCUUGCUUUUAUAUUAUACCACAGCAAAGUAGAUUUAAUGUGAGUAUAUCAUAAUCCAGAUAUACUCAGGCAACUGGUGGCAACAGGGCUAUAGUUAAGCAUCAGGGGGAACUAAUUGUAAUGUGUUUUUCUCAAAGUCAGCUACACUUAUGGAUUGUAAAUACAUCCAAAUGUAUAAAAAUGCUCCUAGGGUAAAAUCAAGGUAGAAAAAACUACCAUAUAUCAUUUCACCCAUCAAUUUAAUUUUCAGCAGACAAAAGAACUGAAUCUGAAGUGGGAAAACCUGGCUUUGUUGCACCUGCUGCCAAUGAUUUUAUAUGAAAUAGCCAAUGAAAAUCCAUAGUAUUUACACAUGUAGACGCGUGAAGUGGAAGCAAACAAUGUGUGUCAGAAAUGUUUUUAACACGGGAACUGUAAAGGCAACAUUUCAGCUGAUCUUAUUGCUGAUGAUCCAAAUGAACAUUUACGGGUUCCUCUCCCAUUUUCUGGAUUGACUUGCCUUAUUAAUUCAAAUCUUACUUUGAAUGCCGGCAUGUAGCCGGGAUAAUUAUUAGUAGGGGAGAUCAAAGGAAGCAUAUUAAAGUCCUAUUUCAUUUUCUGCUGAUGUGAGUGAUCUGUCUCCCCUUUGAUGUUGUAAGCUUUUUCGGUUAAUGUACAGAGGAUAAAAAUACUACACCAUGUAAUCUGGCAUUUAUCCCAUGAGAGCAGAAUUCCAAAAUGUGACACAUGUCAAGAAGUAAGGGGGAAAAAAAUACUUGAAAGAGGUUCAGUGUUUUUUCUCAGAGCUGCAGUUCCAUAUUUCAUCA